rnacentral:rRNA from 1 species
GAUUAAGUUAUUAAGGGCGCACGGUGGAUGCCUUGGCACUAGAAGCCGAUGAAGGACGUUACUAACGACGAUAUGCUUUGGGGAGCUGUAAGUAAGCUUUGAUCCAGAGAUUUCCGAAUGGGGAAACCCAGCAUGAGUUAUGUCAUGUUAUCGAUAUGUGAAUACAUAGCAUAUCAGAAGGCACACCCGGAGAACUGAAACAUCUUAGUACCCGGAGGAAGAGAAAGAAAAUUCGAUUCCCUUAGUAGCGGCGAGCGAAACGGGAAGAGCCCAAACCAACAAGCUUGCUUGUUGGGGUUGUAGGACACUCUAUACGGAGUUACAAAGGACGACAUUAGACGAAUCAUCUGGAAAGAUGAAUCAAAGAAGGUAAUAAUCCUGUAGUCGAAAAUGUUGUCUCUCUUGAGUGGAUCCUGAGUACGACGGAGCACGUGAAAUUCCGUCGGAAUCUGGGAGGACCAUCUCCUAAGGCUAAAUACUCUCUAGUGACCGAUAGUGAACCAGUACCGUGAGGGAAAGGUGAAAAGCACCCCGGAAGGGGGAGUGAAAUAGAACCUGAAACCGUGUGCUUACAAGUAGUCAGAGCCCGUUAAUGGGUGAUGGCGUGCCUUUUGUAGAAUGAACCGGCGAGUUACGAUUUGAUGCAAGGUUAAGCAGUAAAUGUGGAGCCGUAGCGAAAGCGAGUCUGAAUAGGGCGUUUAGUAUUUGGUCGUAGACCCGAAACCAGGUGAUCUACCCUUGGUCAGGUUGAAGUUCAGGUAACACUGAAUGGAGGACCGAACCGACUUACGUUGAAAAGUGAGCGGAUGAACUGAGGGUAGCGGAGAAAUUCCAAUCGAACCUGGAGAUAGCUGGUUCUCUCCGAAAUAGCUUUAGGGCUAGCCUCAAGUGAUGAUUAUUGGAGGUAGAGCACUGUUUGGACGAGGGGCCCCUCUCGGGUUACCGAAUUCAGACAAACUCCGAAUGCCAAUUAAUUUAACUUGGGAGUCAGAACAUGGGUGAUAAGGUCCGUGUUCGAAAGGGAAACAGCCCAGACCACCAGCUAAGGUCCCAAAAUAUAUGUUAAGUGGAAAAGGAUGUGGCGUUGCCCAGACAACUAGGAUGUUGGCUUAGAAGCAGCCAUCAUUUAAAGAGUGCGUAAUAGCUCACUAGUCGAGUGACACUGCGCCGAAAAUGUACCGGGGCUAAACAUAUUACCGAAGCUGUGGAUUGUCCUUUGGACAAUGGUAGGAGAGCGUUCUAAGGGCGUUGAAGCAUGAUCGUAAGGACAUGUGGAGCGCUUAGAAGUGAGAAUGCCGGUGUGAGUAGCGAAAGACGGGUGAGAAUCCCGUCCACCGAUUGACUAAGGUUUCCAGAGGAAGGCUCGUCCGCUCUGGGUUAGUCGGGUCCUAAGCUGAGGCCGACAGGCGUAGGCGAUGGAUAACAGGUUGAUAUUCCUGUACCACCUAUAAUCGUUUUAAUCGAUGGGGGGACGCAGUAGGAUAGGCGAAGCGUGCGAUUGGAUUGCACGUCUAAGCAGUAAGGCUGAGUAUUAGGCAAAUCCGGUACUCAUUAAGGCUGAGCUGUGAUGGGGAGAAGACAUUGUGUCUUCGAGUCGUUGAUUUCACACUGCCGAGAAAAGCCUCUAGAUAGAAAAUAGGUGCCCGUACCGCAAACCGACACAGGUAGUCAAGAUGAGAAUUCUAAGGUGAGCGAGCGAACUCUCGUUAAGGAACUCGGCAAAAUGACCCCGUAACUUCGGGAGAAGGGGUGCUCUUUAGGGUUAACGCCCAGAAGAGCCGCAGUGAAUAGGCCCAAGCGACUGUUUAUCAAAAACACAGGUCUCUGCUAAACCGUAAGGUGAUGUAUAGGGGCUGACGCCUGCCCGGUGCUGGAAGGUUAAGAGGAGUGGUUAGCUUCUGCGAAGCUACGAAUCGAAGCCCCAGUAAACGGCGGCCGUAACUAUAACGGUCCUAAGGUAGCGAAAUUCCUUGUCGGGUAAGUUCCGACCCGCACGAAAGGCGUAACGAUUUGGGCACUGUCUCAACGAGAGACUCGGUGAAAUCAUAGUACCUGUGAAGAUGCAGGUUACCCGCGACAGGACGGAAAGACCCCGUGGAGCUUUACUGUAGCCUGAUAUUGAAAUUCGGCACAGCUUGUACAGGAUAGGUAGGAGCCUUUGAAACGUGAGCGCUAGCUUACGUGGAGGCGCUGGUGGGAUACUACCCUAGCUGUGUUGGCUUUCUAACCCGCACCACUUAUCGUGGUGGGAGACAGUGUCAGGCGGGCAGUUUGACUGGGGCGGUCGCCUCCUAAAAGGUAACGGAGGCGCUCAAAGGUUCCCUCAGAAUGGUUGGAAAUCAUUCAUAGAGUGUAAAGGCAUAAGGGAGCUUGACUGCGAGACCUACAAGUCGAGCAGGGUCGAAAGACGGACUUAGUGAUCCGGUGGUUCCGCAUGGAAGGGCCAUCGCUCAACGGAUAAAAGCUACCCCGGGGAUAACAGGCUUAUCUCCCCCAAGAGUUCACAUCGACGGGGAGGUUUGGCACCUCGAUGUCGGCUCAUCGCAUCCUGGGGCUGUAGUCGGUCCCAAGGGUUGGGCUGUUCGCCCAUUAAAGCGGUACGCGAGCUGGGUUCAGAACGUCGUGAGACAGUUCGGUCCCUAUCCGUCGUGGGCGUAGGAAAUUUGAGAGGAGCUGUCCUUAGUACGAGAGGACCGGGAUGGACAUACCUCUGGUGUACCAGUUGUCGUGCCAACGGCAUAGCUGGGUAGCUAUGUGUGGACGGGAUAAGUGCUGAAAGCAUCUAAGCAUGAAGCCCCCCUCAAGAUGAGAUUUCCCAACUUCGGUUAUAAGAUCCCUCAAAGAUGAUGAGGUUAAUAGGUUCGAGGUGGAAGCAUGGUGACAUGUGGAGCUGACGAAUACUAAUCGAUCGAAGACUUAAUCAA